GUGGGGAAUCUUGGACAAUGGGGGCAACCCUGAUCCAGCGACGCCGCGUGGGUGAUGAAGGCCUUCGGGUUGUAAAGCCCUUUUGUCGGGGACGAUGAUGACGGUACCCGACGAAUAAGCACCGGCUAACUCCGUGCCAGCAGCCGCGGUAAGACGGAGGGUGCUAGCGUUGUUCGGAAUUACUGGGCGUAAAGGGCGCGUAGGUGGCUUGUUAAGUCGGGUGUGAAAGCCCGGGGCUCAACCCCGGAACGGCACCCGAGACUGGCAGGCUGGAGACCGGGAGAGGAGAGUGGAAUACCCAGUGUAGAGGUGAAAUUCGUAGAUAUUGGGUGGAACACCAGUGGCGAAAGCGGCUCUCUGGCCCGGUUCUGACACUGAGGCGCGAAAGCGUGGGGAGCAAACAGGAUUAGAAACCCUAGUAGUCC
rnacentral:rRNA from 1 species